GGUCCCAUCGACAAGCGGCCUAAGUCACCAGCCUUUCACGCUGGAGUCGCCGGUUCGAAUCCGGCUGGGAUCACCA
rnacentral:tRNA from 1 species